rnacentral:rRNA from 1 species
UCGAGAGGCUUCGGCAAUGGGGGAAACCCUGACCGAGCGACGCCGCGUGGGGGAUGAAGGCCCUUGGGUUGUAAACCCCUUUUGUUCGGGAAGAAAUGCGAUCAGGUGAACAAUCUGGUCGUUUGACGGUACCGGACGAAUAAGCUCCGGCUAACUCCGUGCCAGCAGCCGCGGUAACACGGGGGGAGCAAGCGUUGUUCGGAAUCACUGGGCGUAAAGGGCGUGUAGGCGGUCAGGUAAGUGAAAUGUGAAAUGCCUCGGCUCACCCGAGGACCGGCAUCUCAUACUGCUUGGCUUGAGUACGGGAGAGGAUGUGGGAAUUCCUGGUGUAGCGGUGAAAUGCGUAGAUAUCAGGAGGAACACCGGUGGCGAAGGCGCACAUCUGGCCCGAUACUGACGCUGAGGCGCGAAAGCUAGGGGAGCAAACGG